AUGGGGUUGAAGACCGAGGAUGCGAUACACGCCUGCCUGCUCGAGCAGCUGCUCGCGUCCUUCGACAAGCGAAACAGGAACGACCCUGAGCUGGACCAGUGGAUACGCCCCCGCGACAGGAGCAGGAAGGCCCUCAAGCACCCCUUCUUCCUGUUCAAGAUGAAGGCGUCCGCCAAGAAACCGCGGGUAUCAUGGUGGAUGAAGAAGUACGACAUGUUCCCUCCGGAGCGGCCGGGGUACACAUGCGCCUUGAGGGUCGCGCGCCUGGUGAUCGCAUCGGACGGCGUGUUCCGCCUGGAGCAGGCGGGGGAGGGCGGGCAGCCGGGUGCUCUGUCCUACCUCACCGACACGAGUUACAGGGAGUUUUCACGUCCCAAAGAAGGCGUCUUCAAAGAGGGCCUCAGGGAAGUCGCCGUGAUCCAGAGGCUGCCCGGCGGCGAGGGGAUUUCCAUCAUGUCUCACGUGGUGGGGCUCGGUGUCAAGCUUGGUGACAUUCUCUUUGUGCUGCAUUGCUGGUCCGUGACCGUCGCCCUGAGCAUCACCGAGCGGGACUUCUAUGUCACUUCCAAGUUCAAGGAGGAAUCAUUAUACGCCAGCGCCGAUCUUGAUUUCGUAGACAUUACGGUCCCUGUUGAGAAUCUGAUCAAGAAGCUUUACCAGAUGUAUGAGCUGGAGGAGCGAGAUAAACAGAAAAUGCAGGAGAAUCAAGGUGAUCAGGAGGCAGAGGAGCUGAUGUGUCAGCUAGAGGUUCAGAAAAAGGAGAAACUGGAAGUCCGGCAGAGGAGAAGGGCUGAGAAAAAGAAAUAUCAUGACCUGCGUAAGGAGAUGAAGAGUAUGGUUCGACAGAUGAAGCAAGAAGCAAGCGUUGAAGGAAUACAGGGGCAACUUGAAGAAUUUGAAGACAUUUGCUUUUCCACCCCAAUGCUUUCUGAACCUGAUUCGGCGAAACCAUGUGAAGGCGAGCUAUGCCAAAGUGAGGAGAUGUGCAAGGAAUCUCUAGAGGAGGCUAUGAAGCUUAAUAGUACAGACGUAAGUGUGCUAUUUUUACUACCCUCUGUCUUCAUUCUUGCUUAUUUGUUGCUAGGUAAUUUCUUUGAACUUUGCAAUGAUGUCUUGGUAGCCUGA
rnacentral:rRNA from 1 species